rnacentral:rRNA from 1 species
CAAUAGCGUAUAUUAAAGUUGUUGCGGUUAAAAAGCUCGUAGUUGGAUUUCUGUUGAGGGCAGCCGGUCCGCUCUCGGAGCGUGUAUCUGGUUUGACCUCGGCAUCCUCUCAAAAUACGUUUCUGCGCUUGAUUGCGUGGAGCGGAGUUUGAGACUUUUACUUUGAGGAAAUUAGAGUGUUCACGGCAGGCAAUCGCCUUGAAUAUAUUAGCAUGGAAUAAUAAUAUAGGAUCUUGGUUCUAUUUUGUUGGUUUCUAGGACUAAGAUAAUGAUUAAUAGGGACAGUUGGGGGGCAUUAGUAUUUAAUUGUCAGAGGUGAAAUUCUUGGAUUUAUGAAAGACUAACUACUGCGAAAGCAUUUGCCAAGGAUGUUUUUCAUUAAUCAAGAACGAAAGUUAGGGGAUCGAAGAUGAUCAGAU